UCAGGCCUAACACAUGCAAGUCGAGGGGUAGAAGGAGCUUGCUCCUUUGAGACCGGCGCACGGGUGCGUAACGCGUAUGCAAUCUACCUUUUACAGAGGGAUAGCCCAGAGAAAUUUGGAUUAAUACCUCAUAGUAUAUAUCAUUCGCAUGUUUGGUAUAUUAAAGUUCCAACGGUAAAAGAUGAGCAUGCGUCCCAUUAGUUAGUUGGUAAGGUAACGGCUUACCAAGACGAUGAUGGGUAGGGGUCCUGAGAGGGAGAUCCCCCACACUGGUACUGAGACACGGACCAGACUCCUACGGGAGGCAGCAGUGAGGAAUAUUGGUCAAUGGACGCAAGUCUGAACCAGCCAUGCCGCGUGCAGGAAGACGGUCCUAUGGAUUGUAAACUGCUUUUGUACGGGAAGAAACACUCCUAC
rnacentral:rRNA from 1 species